ensembl:snRNA U6 U6 spliceosomal RNA
GUGCUCGCUUAUGCAACACAUAUACUAAAAUUGGAAAAAUUCAGGCAAGAUUAGCAUGGCCUUUGCCCAAGAAUGACAUGCAAAUUCACGAAGCAUUUCAAAUAUAU